GGGAGUUUAGCUGAUCUCUGGAGCCACUGAAAAACGCGCUGUGAAGGAUCCUUUGUGACCGUACCAAGAACCGACACAGGUGUCCCUAGGCGAGAAACCUAAGGCGUAUCGGGUAUACACUAAAUGCGAGGGAACUCGGCAAAUUAGCCCCGUACCUUUGGUAUAAGGGGUGCCUGUUCUUCUAGCUUCGGUUAGGAGAGCAGGUCGCAGUGACAAAGGGGUCUCGACUGUUUAAUAAAAACACAGGAAGCCGCAAGAGCGAAAGCUUGUGAACGGCUUCUGAAUCCUGGCCAGUACAGGUACCUGAAACCUGGGUCCAACUGGGCUAAGGGCCUGCAAACGCCGGGAGUAACUCUGACUCUCUCAAGGUAGCCAAAUGCCUUGUCGGGUAAGUUCCGACGUGCAUGAAUGGAUCAACGAGGGCCCCACUGUCCCCGCGUAGUACCCGGUGAAACCACAUAACGUGGACGAACAGUCCACGAUCUCCCAGCGGGAAAAGAAGUCCCUGUGGAGUUUUACUGCAGCCUGCCGCUGGAAUACGGUUGUGGAUGCAGAGCGUAGUCGGGAGCCGUCGAUCUGGGGUUCUCCGGGACCUCGGGGAGGCAACAAUGGAACACCGACUUUCUGCAACCGUGUUUCUCACCGGCCCCUUGCGGGCUGGAACAACGGUAGGUGGGCAGUUCGGCUGGGGCGGCACGCCCUUGAAAAGAUAUCAAGGGCGCCCUAAGGUUGGCUCAGGAGGGACAGAAACCCUCCGUAGAGUGCAAGGGCAAAAGCCAGCCUGACUGGAUCCCAAACAGUAAGGGAUCCAGAGGCGAAAGCCGGGCUUAGCGAUCAUCCAUGCUCCCCAUUGGUGGGGGCUGGAUGUGUCAGAAAAAUUACCCUAGGGAUAACAGGCUCGUCGCGGGCGAGAGUCCCCAUCGACCCCGCGGCUUGGUACCUCGAUGUCGGCUCUUCCUAUCCUGGCCCUGCAUAAGGGGCCAAGGGUGAGGCUGCUCGCCUAUUAAAAGGGAACGUGAGCUGGGUUUAGACCGUCGUGAGACAGGUCGGACUUUAUCUGCUGGGAGUGUUGGCUGCUUGAGGGGAAAGGGUCCCUAGUACGAGAGGAACGGGACGCUGUGGCCUCUAGUUAACCGGUUGUCCGACAGGGCAGUUGCCGGGCAGCCACGCCGCUGAGGAUAAGAGCUGAAAGCAUCUAAGCUCGAAGCCUCUCCCGAAAAGAGGCAGCCAUUCCAGUUUCACUGGACGAAGGCUCCCAUAAAAGAUGGGUUUGAUGGAGCCGGGGUGUAAGCUAGAAGACUUCGGUCGACUGGCUCAGCCUGCAACCUCCAAUCGCCCGAGAUGCCAGGCC
rnacentral:rRNA from 1 species